rnacentral:rRNA from 1 species
UACGUAGGUGGCAAGCGUUGUCCGGAUUUACUGGGCGUAAAGAGCGCGCAGGCGGUCGUUCAAGUCGCGUGUGAAAGCCCCCGGCUCAACUGGGGAGGGUCACGCGAUACUGAUCGACUCGAAGGCAGGAGAGGGUAGUGGAAUUCCCGGUGUAGUGGUGAAAUGCGUAGAUAUCGGGAGGAACACCCGUGGCGAAGGCGGCUUUCUAGGAUAUACCUGACACUGAGAAGCGACAGCUAGGGGAGCAAACAGG